UACAGAGGCCUCGAGCGUUAGGCGGAAUCACUGGGCUUAAAGCGUGUGUAGGCGGAUUGGUAAGUACCUUGUGAAAUCCCACAGCUUAACUGUGGAACUGCUCGGUAUACUGCUGAUCUUGAGCCACUCAGGGGCUACCGGAACAAAUGGUGGAGCGGUGAAAUGCGUAGAUAUCAUUUGGAACGCCAAUGGUGAAAACAGGUAGCUGGGGGUGUGCUGACGCUGA
rnacentral:rRNA from 1 species